rnacentral:rRNA from 3 species
UGGGGAAUAUUGGACAAUGGGCGCAAGCCUGAUCCAGCCAUACCGCGUGGGUGAAGAAGGCCUUCGGGUUGUAAAGCCCUUUUGUUGGGAAAGAAAUCCAGCUGGCUAAUACCCGGUUGGGAUGACGGUACCCAAAGAAUAAGCACCGGCUAACUUCGUGCCAGCAGCCGCGGUAAUACGAAGGGUGCAAGCGUUACUCGGAAUUACUGGGCGUAAAGCGUGCGUAGGUGGUCGUUUAAGUCCGUUGUGAAAGCCCUGGGCUCAACCUGGGAACUGCAGUGGAUACUGGGCGACUAGAAUGUGGUAGAGGGUAGCGGAAUUCCUGGUGUAGCAGUGAAAUGCGUAGAGAUCAGGAGGAACAUCCAUGGCGAAGGCAGCUACCUGGACCAACAUUGACACUGAGGCACGAAAGCGUGGGGAGCAAACAGG